ACGUGGAGCGUUUGGGUUUUCUUCCUGGUUGGAAGUAAUUCGCGAAGCCUCCUCCCUUCACACUGGUGCGGGAGAAGGAUGGAGCGCAGCAGCGUGAAGCUAGGGAGCAGGACCCCGUGGAGGCAAGUACUCUUUCCCUUCUUGCUGCCUUUGUUCUGCACGGGGCUCUCAGAGCAAGUCCGGUACUCUAUUCCGGAAGAAAUGGCCAUGGGUUCAGUCGUGGGAAAUCUCGCUGAGGACCUGGGGCUGCCUGUUCAGGACUUACUGACAAGAAACCUUAGAGUUAUUGCAGAGAAACCGUAUCUUUCUGUGAACCCAGAGAACGGGAACAUAGUUGUGAGCGACAGAAUAGACCGAGAGUUUCUCUGCUUCCAAAGCCCUCUGUGCGUCCUGCCCUUAGAGAUUGUGGCAGAAAAUCCCCUAAACGUUUUUCACGUCAGCGUGGUGAUAGAAGAUAUAAAUGAUAACCCUCCCCGUUUCCUCCAAAAUAGCAUUGUUUUGCAAAUCAAUGAACUUGCGAUUCCAGGCACUAGGUUUGGCCUGGAAUCUGCCAUAGAUGCAGAUGUAGGGCUGAACUCUCUCCAGAGUUACCAACUCAGUUUGAAUGAGCACUUCUCUCUGGUGGUAAAGGACAACACUGAAGGAAAGGAUGCCCCCGAAUUAGUGUUGGAGAAGCCUCUGGACAGGGAAAAACAGAGCUCCCAGCUCUUGGUCCUAACCGCAGUAGAUGGGGGAGAACCAGUCCUAACGGGCACCGCUCAGAUUCAGAUCGAGGUCACUGAUGCCAAUGAUAACCCCCCAGUGUUCAGCCAAAGUACGUACAAAGUCAGUCUUAGAGAGGACAUGGCCGCAGGCACGUCUGUGCUAACAGUGAUAGCCACUGACCAGGAUGAGGGUGUCAACGCAGAAGUCACCUACUCCUUCAAAUCACUAGGAGAAGAUAUUAGAGAUAAGUUUAUCCUAGAUCAUCAAAGUGGAGAAAUUAAAUCCAAAGGCCCUAUUGACUUUGAAACCAAGAGGACUUACACCAUGAACAUAGAGGCCAAGGACGGUGGAGGCAUGGCCUCAGAAUGUAAAGUUGUAGUGGAAAUUCUCGAUGAGAACGACAAUGCCCCAGAAGUGGUUUUUACUUCCGUGUCCAAUUCUAUAACCGAAGAUGCAGAACCGGGGACAGUGGUGGCUCUGUUCAAAACGUAUGAUAAAGAUUCAGAAGAAAAUGGAAGAGUGAGUUGCUUCGUAAAAGAAACGGUUCCUUUUAGGAUUGAAUCUUCUGCCAGCAAUUACUAUAAGCUUGUAACAGAUGGGAUCCUGGACCGGGAGCAGACUCCAGAGUACAACGUCACCAUCAUCGCCACUGAUAAAGGCAAGCCCCCUCUCUCUUCCAGCACAAGCGUUACCCUGCAUGUUGGGGAUAUCAAUGACAAUGCUCCAGUUUUCCACCAGACCUCCUAUUUGAUCCAAGUGGCUGAGAACAACCCUCCUGGAGCUUCCAUUGCUCAGGUCAGCGCCUUCGACCCGGAUUUGGGAUCCAAUGGUUUCAUCUCCUACUCCAUCAUAGCCAGCGACCUAGAGCCUAAAUCACUGUGGUCCUACGUGUCGGUGAACCAGGAUAGUGGCGUGGUGUUCGCGCAGCGCGCCUUCGACCACGAACAGCUGCGCUCCUUCCAGCUGACACUGCAGGCGCGCGACCAGGGAAAGCCCUCGCUCAGCGCCAACGUGAGCAUGCGGGUGCUGGUGGGUGACCGCAACGACAACGCGCCACGCGUGCUGUAUCCCACACUCGAGCCCGACGGCUCUGCGCUCUUCGACAUGGUGCCGCGUGCUGCCGAGCCCGGAUACCUGGUCACCAAAGUGGUGGCGGUGGAUGCAGACUCUGGACACAAUGCCUGGCUAUCUUACCACGUGCUGCAGGCCAGCGAUCCCGGGCUCUUCAGCCUGGGACUGCGCACAGGCGAGGUGCGCACAGCGCGUGCCCUGGGAGACAGGGACUCAGCGCGGCAGCGCCUUCUGGUCGCUGUGCGUGAUGGUGGACAACCACCGCUCUCGGCUACAGCCACGCUGCACCUCAUCUUCGCUGACAGCCUGCAGGAGGUCCUGCCAGACCUCAGAGAUGAACCUUUGCUGUCUGACUCCCAAAGUGAGCUUCAGUUUUACCUGGUGGUGGCCUUGGCCUUGGUCUCAGUGCUCUUUCUUUUCGUUGUGAUCCUGGCCAUUGUCCUUCGCCUUCGACAGUCCCAUGGUCCUGCUGUCUCAGACUAUUUUCAGUCGGGCCUCUGCUGUAAGACGAGACCAGAGGUUUCUCUCAACUAAGGCGAGGGGACUCUUCCUUAUUCCUACAAUCUCUAUGUUGCCUCCAAUUGUCAAAAGACAAUUUCUCAAUUUCUUACCUUGACUCCAGAAAUGGUCCCUCCGCGAGACCUUUGUACGGAAGCUUCUGUAGCAGUGAGUGUCGCUGAGGAGAAUAACAAGAUAGUCUCGGAUUCUAUUGCUUCUAAUCACCAAGCCCCGCCCAACACUGACUGGCGUUUCUCUCAAGCCCAGAGACCCGGCACGAGCGGAUCCCAAAAUGGUGAUGAAACUGGCACCUGGCCCAACAACCAGUUUGAUACAGAGAUGCUGCAAGCCAUGAUCUUGGCCUCUGCCAGCGAAGCUGCUGAUGGGAGCUCUACCCUGGGAGGGGGCGCUGGCACCAUGGGUCUGAGCGCUCGAUACGGACCCCAGUUUACCCUGCAGCACGUGCCUGACUACCGCCAGAACGUGUACAUCCCUGGCAGCAAUGCCACGCUGACCAAUGCCGCUGGCAAACGAGAUGGCAAGGCUCCAGCAGGUGGUAAUGGCAACAAGAAGAAAUCGGGCAAGAAAGAGAAGAAGUAAUAUGGAGGCCAGGCCUUGAACCACAAGGCAGCCUCCCUCCCCAGCCAGUCCAGCUCGUCCUUACUUGUACCCAGGCCUCAGAAUUUCAGGGCUCACCCCAGGAUACUGGUAGGAGCCAGGGCCAUGCUCCCCGUUGGGAAACAGAAACACGUGCCCAAGCCAACACCCCCUCUCUAUACCCUAGGGAGUUGAAUAUGCAAAGAGAGUUCUGCUGGGACCCCCCUAUUCAAUCAGUGAUUGUACCCACAUGGGUAGCAGGGUUUGUGUGUGUGGACAUACACACACACACACACACACACACACACAAACCAUGCCACACUCCCUUAGUUACAGCUGAACUCCUCCAUCUUCCAACCCAGG